rnacentral:lncRNA from 1 species
CCGCGGGAGUGGAUUGCAGGCGCGGCGUGGGGAUGCGUGCAGGUCCUCCACACGCGGUCUCUCCAAACAGCCUCGGGGAGUAAAGGUGUGGCCUAAGCGGGUUGCGUUUCUCCUCCUGGCAUUUCGGGUACUCCUCCCCGCCGCGACCUGAAGCACCCUCGAACUUUCUCCCGGAAAAAUCUCUACCCAUCCUGUCUUUUCAUAUUUUUUCAAGAGGUCUCAGUGGCCCAUCCCCGCCAGUUACCUCUUCUUCCCACCCACUCGGUGUCGAGGGCGGCCGCCGGGUGGCGGAACCCGCUGGGGACUGCCGGGCGAGUGGAUUCUAGGUUCGCUGCUCAUGGGCAGGUGGGACGACCUCUGAGGCCGAGCAGAAAGGCAGGGGGCAGGGUGACAGACACUGAGGAAGCCCCAGAACGUCUCCGUCCUCUCCGAGGCAGGAAGUCCGCUUUGGGGAUAUCAGGCCACCCCCGACCUCCCCCAGCGAUGGAAACCUGUCCAGGGGCCCCUAGGCUGGGUGCUGGGAACCCAAGUGGCCAGAAGUAAAGGCUGGCAGGGCUCGCUGAAGUUAGCAAGGCUUUGAGGGGAAUUUGCCGGGAGGGAGAUCAAAACACCCCCAAACUCAAGCAGCGAAGUCCUGGCGCGAAAAUGGCUUUUCACUUCUCCAAGCGCAAGUCUCGCUCGCUACGGUGAACAAACCUUGAGGUUCGAAACAGCUGCAAAUAAUCAAGAUUUUUUCACUCGUCAUUACGUAAAUAAAGAAGAAGAUGAUGAUACUAAUAACAGCUAACAUUUACUGUAUACCAGAACUGUGGCUCCAUAAUGGAAUCAAGAAGUCAUGGAAUCCUAUGCUUGGAAGUUUGGAGGGCAUUGGUCCAACUUCCCACUGAACCCAGAGUUCUGAAGAUGGGCAGAUGAUCAGAUGCAGAUGGAACAAUUUUCAGGACUUGCAGAUUCAAGAAAGGCUCCCAAUGCAGCUGCUGUCUGCAGACCCCCUAGACUGCCCAGGGAAGUGAGUCGGAACUCCUGCAACAGAGGGGUGGAACAGCUACAAGAAGAUCUGAAGGUGGCCAAAAAUAACAGCACUUUCCAGAUGAGGGAGCCAGUUUUCCAGCACAGUGUCAUGGGACAGUGGGCCCUGGUGUCACAUGUCCGGCAUCUCCACCAGAUACAGCUUUGAGAUCUUCAUGAUGAAGCUUGCUCCAAUCCAAAGGCUUUCAGGCAGGGUUUGCUGUUCAGCUGCUAACCUUUCUUUGGUAAGCAUUUACUAUAUUCCAUCAUUACUGAAAUUACUUUUUUCU